AUAAAUGUCCUAGUGCUUCCUACAUCAUGGCAAAAGUGUACUGCAUAUGGGUAAGCUACUUUGUGACAUACAACACCUUUGCCAUUUGCUUUCUCUUCCACUUUUUCGAUGGUAUAUGCUUGCACCUCUGGAGUUUCCUUCUCUACUUCAGUGGACAUUGCUAUAAUAUUGUUUGUUCCCAGGUGAGAUAAGGUGAAAUCAAUCAUAGAUUCCAAAGAAGUGGCACAAUGUUUUACCUCUCCGUUACCCGCAGGCUCUUCACACGUUUUGAUUGUUUUCUUGAUGUCUUUAGCACGUUCUGAGUCCUUAUCAACAGAGAAGUGAUUAAGAAUUUCCUCAAUUUUGUCCGAUGAGAAAGCGAUGGAAUCUACAACUUUGCGUGGCAAAAUGGGUGCUGGAUUGUAGUUUUUGAGAGACUGAAGAUUCAUUUUUUUCCCUUGAUGUAAAUCUGUUUCAAAGAAGUAUGGCGUCACUGGGUGAUUGUCAUUAAGAUCUUUCUUAGCAGCAUCAUUGUACCAUACACCCACUCCAUAUGGUUGGCGUACUUUGUGAAGCUCGUUCUCGGGGGCAGCCUGAUACCAUGAAUCCACUCCCCAUGGUUGGCGUACUUUGUGAAGCUCGUUCUCAAAGGGCAGCCUGAUACCAUCUACCCACUCCCCAUGGUUGGCGUACUUUGUGAAGCUCGUUCUCAGGGGCAGCCUGAUACCAUCUACUCACUCCAUAUGGUUGACGUACUUUGUGAAGCUCACUCUCUGCCAACAGAAGUAUUCGAAAACAAAAGACCUUAGUAUUAAUUUGAUCUUUUUUUCCUUAUGAAACAACAUAAUAGGCAAGCAAUAUGCCUUCAAAUGGUGCGUAUUUUUAACAAACGAUUGAAAAACUCUUAGAUUUAUUUACUUUUCAAUUAGGUGCUUCAUCUUUCCUCUAUUUUACUGCAAUCGAUACGUCCCUUUCAUACUACCUCUACUUUUUGUACUUCUGAUUUUUAAUGAAUUGGAAGAACAUGAGAAAAUUUUCAAAAUUUUGUUUUUAUUUUUUUGUUUGGAUGUGAAAAGAUUAGGGGUGUCCAUGGUUCGGUUCAGCCAGUUAUUUUAAAGUUAAUACCAUUUUUUUGAUUGGUCUAUUUUUAUGACCAAAGUUGGAACCAUUCAAUCAUCUUGAUUUCUCUUUAGCAUCAGUAUAAUUAAGUUAAUUUUUAAUAUAUAUUCGUAUAUGUCAUUAAAAUUCACAACUAAAAAUUCGAACAUGAAAUCAUUGGUACUUGCAUAUAACUUUGGUAAAAAUUCGCUAAAUUUCUAUAGAGAUUUAUCCCACUAUUCUACAAUGUGAAAAAUAAAUUAAGUAAAUAAGAGAAAUUUAAAUCAUAUAAUCAAGUGGAAAUCUAUUAAUCAAGAUGAGACUCGUAGAGAAAUCUAAAUCAUACGAUAGGGAAGAUAUUAAAAAAAUUAUGCAUAGUUAAUCUGAUCGUUGGAAUACCUUAUGGUUUGCUAAUCAAGUUAUUGGAACUAAUUUAGUUUCAAUAAGAGUCGUAUAUAUAAUAGUUUUAAAGUUGAAACUUUUUACUUGUUUGUUAAUUUUCAACCUGAUUCAUAACUAAUUAAUGCAUAAAUUUAUUAAAUACAACCCGAUAUAUAUUUUUAAAAUUUAUUUUUAUAAAAUUAAAAAUUUAUCCUAAUUAUUUGGUAGAUUAUGGAUUUAUUUGGUAAACUAUGCACGCGACCAAAAUGCAUACCUCAUUUAACAACAAAUACUACAAGAAAAAAAAAUGAAUUUAACUUUGAACUUCAUUAUUCAUCCAUCGUCAAAAUUUUCGGAGCUAAGAACUCUUUUUAAUAACUCGUUAUUAAUUUGUCGCUAAAUAGAAAUAGCUAUCAUUUUCAUGUUUGUUUAGUAAUAAAAUAACUUAAUAUAUAAAAGGAAAAAGGAUAAAAAAUGCUCUUAAACUUUGUGAAAGGAACAAAAUGUCAUCCGUUUAUAGUUUCGCUCAAAAAUGUCGUUGCCAUCAAUACUUUGGUUAAAAAAUGUCUUGCAGUCAAUACUUUGGUCCAGAAAUGCCCCUAUAAUUACUAAAUGGGUCAAAAAUACCAUUUUUCAAAUACAUAUUUUUUUUUUCUUUUUAAACACAUCUCAGUCCUAAUUAAAAUAUUAUUAAAGAACCAUGUUCUUGUUUUCUUUCUUUUAAAAUCACUUUAACAAAGNNNNNNNNNNNNNNNNNNNNNNNNNNNNNNNNNNNNNNNNNNNNNNNNNNNNNNNNNNNNNNNNNNNNNNNNNNNNNNNNNNNNNNNNNNNNNNNNNNNNNNNNNNNNNNNNNNNNNNNNNNNNNNNNNNNNNNNNNNNNNNNNNNNNNNNNNNNNNNNNNNNNNNNNNNNNNNNNNNNNNNNNNNNNNNNNNNNNNNNNNNNNNNNNNNNNNNNNNNNNNNNNNNNNNNNAAUUGAAGUAAGAUAAACAUUUGCUAAUUUAAAAAAAUAUUAUUAGAAAAAAAUGUGUUAAAAAGAAUAUAAACAAUAUAUUUAUUUGAAAAAUAGUUGAGAGACAUUUUAAGCCCUUCUCUAUUUAAUAUAAUAUAAAUAGUAAAAUUGUUUUUCUCUGUUUUAAUGAAUCUUACCAGAAAUGUGUAGUGCAUCUUUGAUAGGCGUGGGCAUGGGAGUAUUAGGCAAUUUGACUCUCCAAUACACCUCAGGAGAUAAAUUUGCUGCAUGACUUACCACAAAAAUUACCUAAACACAACAACAACAAUUAAUUAAUUAAUUGUUCAUAUAUAAUCUACUUAUUUUUUUUUCAAUUGAACAUUAAAAAUAAAUUAAAUACUAUUAAUUUACUCACAGAAAAAAAUGUGAAGAAAUAAUAUUGGUGAUGCAACUCCAUUGUAAAUGUAUUUGCACACAAUAUAAUGUUUGGCUAUGGGAUAUGAUUGUGAGAAAAUUGCUAGCCAAUUUAUAGGGGUUAAACAAGUGCCUUUAUGGAAAUAUGUAAUAAAUAUUAAAUUAUAUAGUUAUCUUAUCUUAUAAUUAAAUAAUUUGAGAUAUGUUCAUUCUAGAUCUGAGAUAGUUACACAGUACACACUCUGCCCCUCAUGCUGAAUUUAUUCUCUGUAACUAAUGGUGACAAAUGGACGAGUCAAAUAUUAUAUCAGUUCUGUCCCCUUAAAUUAAUAUUACAAGUAUGAUUUUUCGGGAACUGCGUCCUCAUAUAAUUUUAUAAUGGCACGUCAUUGUCAUAUGCAGUAAUAAUAAUGUUCAUUUUAUUGAAAAAAUCUGUAUUUGACUAAUAGAAUAAUAAACAGUCCAUAAAUGGCAAUACUACAAUCUUUCCCAUGCAUUUCUCGUGAUUCCUUUUUUUUUAAUAAAUUAUAAUCUUUAUAAUCUUUUCAUUAUAGAAACGGUUAGAAGCAGUGGCGGAUCCAGGAUUUCUGUGAAGGGGUUCAAAAUAUAAAGAAGUAAACAUGUGAAAAUUAUAAGAUGAAAAACUGAGCGACAUAAGAGGAAACUAGUAAUCUGAAUCCAAUAAAUUUAACUUGCCUUGUCAUGCCGCAUUUAGUUUUUUUUUACUUUUACCCUAUUUCAUCGAGCUUUUUAAAAAAAUAUUUCUUGUGUUUUCUCUCUCUUUUAUAUUGCAAUGUUCUACUCUAUUUUUUGAAUUUUUCUUAAAUUCAACCACUAUAUAUAUAUUCAGAAGAUAAAUAAUUGACAUCGUCGAUUUUUUAGUUCAUUUAAUUCAAUUUACUAGAUUAGACAUUCAUGAAAAAAAAAUGAUGAAUAGAACAAAUAAGUUUAGUUUAGUAGAAAUAGUAUAAAAUUAAGGGGGGGGGGGGGGGGGGGAGGAUCAAUUAAUUAGAUUUUUAUAAUUAAGAUUAUUCACGAACUUUAAAAUUUCUUCAUUCGAUUAACUUUAAUUCAAUUUAUUUUAUAUAUAUUUUUUUUUUGUAAAUCAAUUUCAAAUUUAAUAAUAAUUCAUCGUUAGUACAUGGAAAGAGACUUAUGUAGAAAUAAAAUGAGAAGUUUAAAUAAGAAGAAUAAAAGAUAAAAGUAUCUAAAAUAUGUCUAAUAAAUUUAAACAAAGAUAAAUUGAGAAAAAGAAAUAGCAUAGAGAGAAAAAUAAUGAUAACAAAAAUAAUAAGGGAAAAUUAGCAAACUAGUCACAAACUUUAACAUAAUUAUUAAAAAUAUCUACACUUUAAAAUAAUUAUUAAAAAUGUCAAUAUGUCAAUAUUUUAGAAAAUAAAUUGAACCCUGAUAAUCAAAAUGCCAAUAUUUUGACAUUUAAUAGGAUCCCUUAGCCAUACUUUCAAUAUUUAUUUAAAAUGUCAAUAAUUUAAUUUGUUAUGUAUUUGAUUUAUGUAGUUUCUUAUUUGUUUGAUUUGCAAGAAUACAAUUAUUUAAUAACAGAAAGGAGAAAAUCAAGAGAGAUAAUAUUUUAAAAUAGAAACAUAUCACUUAAAAUUCUCAUCAGUUACAAUUUCAAAGAAAGCAACUUUUAUUUUAUUAUGUUUUUGUCACACCCCGAGCCUACACCCUGGACGGGACUGACACUCGAAGACCAUUGUUGGCCCCAAGCGAACCCUUGGCCUGGCUUACUUAACUCAACGGAAGACUUAAACUCAACAAAGGUAAGUUCGUAUAAUAAACUGGAAUGUCAUAAAGGAACAUUCAACUGGCCAUUAAGGCAAACUCAAGUCUCAACAUGGAAUAAUGACAAUGAAAAGACUAAAGAACCAACAUUUGACUGUCUAUGAAGCCUCUAAUAACAACUGAGAUGGAUGUUGGGACAAACUCCACAACAUCCUAAUGAACUAAACUAGAAAACAAUAGAAAUGGAUCCUCCGGAAUGGAAGGAGGCUCACCAACAAACUCUGAACUGCUCACUGGAUCAACGAUGCGUCAGAAUGCCGAUCCUAGUUACCUGCAUCAUAAGACGAUGCAGGCCAGCUGACAUCAGUACAUUGAAUGUACGAGUAUGCGAGUUGGAGUGCUAAACAUAACAUAGGCUUGAAAAGGAUCUGAAAGAAACACUUACCUAGGCUCUUCUCAAUUCAUGAAUACUUAACUGAACUCAUUUCAUUAUAAAACAGUUUAAAACAAGUGCAAUAUAAAGAAAAAGAAAACAAGUGCUAAUCAUUGCAUAUGAAUAUGAUUUAUGAAAGAAUACAAGAUUCUGGAAAAAAAUUUAGCAUACAUGGUGGAAAUAAUACAAUAUGUUGAGGAAAGAUACAAUAUUCUAAAAAAUAUAUAAAUUGACUAUAAAAGAAAUAGAGAUACAAGAUUCUGGAAAAAAAAUAGCAUACAUGGUGAAAAUAAUACAAUCUGUUGAGGAAAGAUACAAUAUUCUAAAAAAAUAAAUACAAAUUGGCUGUGAAAAAAAAUAGAAUACAUCUAUGCUUAAGAAAUAUAAAUCAAUUUGACAUACUUAUUUGAAUGACUACAAACUAAAAAAGAAACACAAUGUUCUUAAUAAAAAUACAAAUGUUGAGUAAAAGAAAAACAAUUGACAAACAAAAAUUAAUAUGAAUACAAUCUUGGUAUGAAUACAAAUUAACUUUCUUCUCCCAGUCUCUCUUUCUUCUUCUUCUUCUUCGUCUACUAUUUUGCUUUUUUUUUUUUGACUUUUUUUUAUACCAAACUCAAAUCCAUAUCCGUAUUCACUUGUGCAUAUAUUAGUAACCCUAUAAACAAAAUUAGAAAUUAUUAAUUAUGAAUGUAUAAAAAUUCAAACAAUAUAUGAUGUAUGAAUGCUAAUGUAGAUUACUACAAUUUCAAACAUUUAAAUAUCCAAAACAGAGGACAUUAGAAAUUUUCCAACACUUCCACUCAUAUAAGAUAUAAAAUACAAACAACUAUUUUUUUUAAAAAAAAUUGAAAUUCUUAAGAACAAAGAAAAAAACGCUAGAAAGAAAAUUGGCAACAUGUGCCCUUUCAAAAACAUAACUGAUGUUAAAUUUUUUAGAAAAAUUACCUUUUUUGAAAUUUUUUGUUCCAUGAUUUUCUCUAUUCAGUUAUUAAUUGUUUGUAUUCUUUCAAAUUAAUCAAAAUAAAAUAAAUACAUAACUCAAUCCAUAACAAAUUAAAAUAUUGACAUUUUAAAUAAAUAGUGAAACUAUUACUAAGGAAUCCCAUUAAAAGCUAAAAUAUUAUUGUUUUGAAAAUUUUCCCAUUUUUAUUUAUUUAUUUGCUACAGUACGGUUUUUAUCAUAUCAAUAAUCAAAUGGCAAAUAGAAAAAAUAUACAACAAAACAACUCUUCCCAUGCAUUUCAUGUGAUCCCUUUUAUUUUAUUUUAUUAUAAGUAAGUAACAAUCAUUGUAUUCUUUUCAUAACCUUUAUAAUAUGCUUUGUAUUAUUUGUUUUCACUGUGAUUUUUAAUCAUUUACAAACCAAUUCAUUAAAUAUAUAUAUUUUUCAAUCAUAAUGUGUCUUGUCACUUACAGUACGUCUCAACACUUUGUCAUACAAAGUAGGCAAGUUCGAAUGAGCUUUAGGUAUCAAUUUUUUUUAUUUCAAACGGUACGUUAGGUAUCAAUUUUUUUUAUUUCAAACAGUAUGUUACAUUUAUUUAUUUAAUAAGAUUCGUCCGAAGACAUACAAAUAGGAACAAGCUUUAGGUAUCAUUGAUAGUGUACCCCUUAAGCAGAGGAACAAUUAUUUUUCGAGCAAAUAAAAAAAAUACUAAAAGGCAGAAAUAAUAUAAAUUUUAGGUAUAACAAACAUAAAAAUUAUAUUAGCGCUCUAUAGCUAUAAUUUUGCUAUUUGCGUUGGAGCAUCUGAUUUGUAUAAACCAAAUCAAUUUGUAUGAAUCGCGGCAUUUGUGUCUAUGAAAAUUGUGUUUGUAUAUGUAUAUGUUCUUUGUGUUAGGCUAGAGUGACGAGCGAGAUUAUGAGAGAGAGGAGAGAGGGAGAGAGUGAAGAGAAGUGAAUUGUAUAUGUAUAUCGGUUAGAUAAUUGUAUAUAUGUAACUACUAUGUAUAUGUAUCAAUGAUUGUGUUUGUAUAUCUGCAUAAAAUUUGAAUUUGUAUACAAUUGGAUCGCGUUAAAACAUCUGUAUUUGUAUAUCAAAUCUCUCUCUCGCUUUAUACAAACAUAAAUUGUACAUUGUAUUUUCCCUAAUAUGUCAUACACUAUUAUACAUUGUAUAACGUUGUGAGAGUUUUAAUGGUGCUUGGAGAUGGAUAAAUUUGAAUGUUAUACACUAUUAUACUUUGAAUAUGUGUAUUUGAUCGUUUAAACUAAAUUGGUUUAUUCAUUUUUAUGGGAAGUGAAAUAAUAUCAUAUCAUUUAGUUUUGUAAGAAAGCAUAUAUAUAUAGUUAGUUGAUUUAUACUGUUUGGAUGAUUCUAAGAUAAUUGGUGUUGAGGAAUAUUGCAAGAAAGACUCUUAAAUCUAUUUGAAAACAAGAUGUCAUAAUCUCCAUUACCACAUAUAUUCAUCAACCAUAUUUGAAAUACAAGCCAAACAUUUUCAUCCACACAUGCAAACAACGUGCAUGAUGAACUAUGAUUAACACAGUUAAACAGUACUUGCAUCAGGGCAAGCAUUAUUACACAAAACAUUGCAAUAAACAGUAUUUACAUCAGGGAGAUACAUUUUCAGAUGAAGCAUUGGGACUAUUGCAACAAAGGAGCAGGUAAUGACUGAACGUUCUUCAUGUUAGUUUUCAGCCACUUGAAGAACUGCGUUUUGAGAAGGAAACAGGGCAAUUUGAUCGUCCAAAGUGAAAUGGCAAAUAGGCUUGUCUCCAGGCUUAACGUUGAGCAACUGAAAAGGCAAUGCCUUAGGGUUCAUGGAUGCAGUAUCCUCAUGGCAGACUGAUACUGCAUUAACUUUUGUUCCAUCAGCACCCACCAUAGACACCAUAAAUGUCCUAGUGCUUCCUACAUCAUGGCAAAAGUGUACUGCAUAUGGGUAAGCUACUUUGUGACAUACAACACCUUUGCCAUUUGCUUUCUCUUCCACUUUUUCGAUGGUAUAUGCUUGCACCUCUGGAGUUUCCUUCUCUACUUCAGUGGACAUUGCUAUAAUAUUGUUUGUUCCCAGGUGAGAUAAGGUGAAAUCAAUCAUAGAUUCCAAAGAAGUGGCACAAUGUUUUACCUCUCCGUUACCCGCAGGCUCUUCACACGUUUUGAUUGUUUUCUUGAUGUCUUUAGCACGUUCUGAGUCCUUAUCAACAGAGAAGUGAUUAAGAAUUUCC
rnacentral:lncRNA from 1 species